AUGUCAUCCUGUGAGGUGACAAAGACACAGAAACUUAUCGUUCUUUAAUGAAGACUAACAAUGUUUUUUAAUAAAGUCUUACUCUGAGAGCCUGUUGCUAUA
rnacentral:sRNA from 17 species